rnacentral:rRNA from 1 species
UGGGGAACCUGCCCCAUAGUCUGGGAUACCACUUGGAAACAGGUGCUAAUACCGGAUAAGAAAGCAGAUCGCAUGAUCAGCUUUUAAAAGGCGGCGUAAGCUGUCGCUAUGGGAUGGCCCCGCGGUGCAUUAGCUAGUUGGUAAGGUAAAGGCUUACCAAGGCGAUGAUGCAUAGCCGAGUUGAGAGACUGAUCGGCCACAUUGGGACUGAUACACGGCCCAAACUCCUACGGGAGGCAGCAGUC